UACGUAGGGGGCAAGCGUUGUCCGGAUUUAUUGGGCGUAAAGAGCGUGUAGGCGGUUAGGUAGGUCCGUUGUGAAAACUCGAGGCUCAACCUCGAGACGCCGAUGGAAACCAUCUAACUAGAGUCCGGAAGAGGAGAGUGGAAUUCCUGGUGUAGCGGUGAAAUGGCGCAGAUAUCAGGAAGAACACCCGUGGCUAAGGCGGCUCUCUAGUACGGUACUGACGCUGAGACGCGAAAGCGUGGGGAGCGAACAGG
rnacentral:rRNA from 1 species